rnacentral:rRNA from 1 species
GGUUACUGCUAUCGGUGUUCGCCUAAGCCAUGCGAGUCAUAUGUUCUUCGGAACAUGGCGUACUGCUCAGUAACACGUGGAUAACCUGCCCUUGGGUCCGGCAUAACCCCGGGAAACUGGGGAUAAUUCCGGAUAACGCACAUAUGCUGGAAUGCUUUAUGCGUCAAAUGGAUUCGUCCGCCCAAGGAUGGGUCUGCGGCCUAUCAGGUAGUAGUGGGUGUAAUGUACCUACUAGCCUACGACGGGUACGGGUUGUGAGAGCAAGAGCCCGGAGAUGGAUUCUGAGACAUGAAUCCAGGCCCUACGGGGCGCAGCAGGCGCGAAAACUUUACAAUGCGGGAAACCGUGAUAAGGGGACACCGAGUGCCAGCAUCAUAUGCUGGCUGUCCGGGUGUGUAAAAUACACCUGUUAGCAAGGGCCGGGCAAGACCGGUGCCAGCCGCCGCGGUAACACCGGCGGCCCGAGUGGUGAUCGUGAUUAUUGGGUCUAAAGGGUCGUAGCCGGUUUGGUCAGUCCUCCGGGAAAUCUGACGGCUUAACCGUUAGGCUUUCGGGGGAUACUGCCAGACUUGGAACCGGGAGAGGUAAGAGGUACUACAGGGGUAGGAGUGAAAUCUUGUAAUCCCUGUGGGACCACCUGUGGCGAAGGCGUCUUACCAGAACGGGUUCGACGGUGAGGGACGAAAGCUGGGGGCACGAACCGGAUUAGAUACCCGGGUAGUCCCAGCCGUAAACGAUGCUCGCUAGGUGUCAGGCAUGGCGCGACCGUGUCUGGUGCCGCAGGGAAGCCGUGAAGCGAGCCACCUGGGAAGUACGGCCGCAAGGCUGAAACUUAA